CUUGCACACACCGCCCGUCAAUCCAACCGAGCAGGGUUUAGGUGAGCCGCAUUGAGUAAAUGUGCCGAACCUAAGCUCAGCAAGGUGGGAUAAGUCGUCACAAGGUAUCCGUAGGGGAACCUGCGGAUGGAUCACCUCCUUA
rnacentral:rRNA from 1 species